rnacentral:lncRNA from 1 species
CCAGGCUCUGCCCGCCCUGCAGGAAGCUGAGGGCCUCUUGCUGGAGGUGAUCAACCCAGACCUUGGUCAGUGCCCCUCUCCCUGCUUCCCUCCAUCUCUGUCCUCUGACAAUGCUGCCUCUUCCAGGAAGCCCCCCAAGGUGGCCCCAGCUCCAGAGCUCUGCUCCUACAGUAGAUUGUGGGCCAGGAUCCCUCGCCCAAGACAGUUCUGCAGGCCUGGCUUUGCCUUCUCAGGGGUUUGUGGUCUAGAGGGGUGGGGAGCCACCCCAGCCAUCAACUCCCUGCUUUGUUCUGAACCUCAGGUCAGCCUGGCAUCACCCUCCCCAGCUAUGCUGUGGUUCUCCUCGUUCUGGGCUUCCUGCUCACUGCACUCGCCCUUGUCCUGGUGCUGAAGAGGAAGACCUGCUUCCGGCAGUUCAGCCAUACACAGUGAGGUACAGAGGUCAGGCCCUGAAGAGCUGAACGUGGCAAGAUGAUGGCCUGCGGAAGAUGCAGGAAGGGGAACAAAGCUGGCUCCCUCCCGCCUGGCCUGGCUUCGUGGUGGGGCUGGAGGUAUAUGGGUCUCAAGACAAACUCCUGUCCUUUGGGGUAUGGAAAAUUAAAUGACAAGGAGCUAUCAGAAGUUGGUGUAAGAGGUUGAUUUGGGGAGUUCCCGUUGUGGCGCAGUGGUUAACGAAUCCGACUAGGAACCAUGAGGUUGCGGGUUCGGUCCCUGCCCUUGCUCAGUGGGUUAAUGAUCCGGCGUUGCCGUGAGCUGUGGUGUAGGUUGUAGACGCGGCUCGGAUCACGUGUUGCUGUGGCUCUGGCGUAGGCUGGUGGCUACAGCUCCGAUUCAACCCCUAGCCUGGGAACCUCCAUAUGCCGCGGGAGCGGCCCAAGAAAUAGCAACAACAACAACAAAAGACAAAAGACAAAAAAAAAAAAAAAAAAAGAGGUUGAUUUGGGAGUUCCCAUCGUGGCACAGCAGAAACGAAUCUGACUAGGAACCAUGAGGUUGCGGGUUUGAUCCCUGGCCUUGCUCAGUGGGUUAAAGAUCUGGCGUUGCUGUGAGCUGUGGUGUAGGUCGCAGAUGCGGCUCAGAUCUGGCAUUGCUGUGGCGUAGGCCUAUGGCUACAGCUCCGAUUGGACCCCUAGCCUAGGAACCUCCAUAUGCCAUGGGUGUGGCCCUAAAGACAAAAGACAAAAAAAAAAAAAAAAAAAGAGUUUGCUUUUGCAUUUGUUUCUAGGUGGUCAUCCAACAUGAGGACAUAGGGGAGGUUCAGAGUGGAGCCCACAGGAGGAGGUACAGGCAGUGGACUGAAGGUCAGGGGUGGAGAUGGGGGCUCUGUGGGGUGAAGGCCUGGUCCCAGCUCCACCCCCAUCUUAGG